rnacentral:rRNA from 1 species
UACCAGCACCCCGAGUGGUCGGGACGAUUAUUGGGCCUAAAGCAUCCGUAGCCGGUUCUACAAGUCUUCCGUUAAAUCCACCUGCUUAACAGAUGGGCUGCGGAGGAUACUAUGGAGCUAGGAGGCGGGAGAGGCAAGCGGUACUCAGUGGGUAGGGGUAAAAUCCUCUGAUCCAUUGAAGACCACCAGUGGCGAAGGCGGCUUGCCAGAACGCGCUCGACGGUGAGGGAUGAAAGCUGGGGGAGCAAACCGG